CCCAGGGAACAACGUUCUGCGGCGGCUGUACUGAAAACGAGAAGGUGCGAGUGAAGGUCGUGUUAGACGCUCUGGAAACCGAUUACAAGGACCUGGCGUGCGAGCUUCACAACUUCAGCAAGAUUCCUCUCUUCUCUGCAAAUCCCUGCGCUUGAAGCACGAGAUCGCAAGGCAUCAUCACAUGAAGGCGAGAGUAAUCACGAAUUAAUUACGAUUCAAUUCAAGGAUGACGAUGUGGCUUCAUGUGCUUGUACAGCUUGUGUAGUAAAUGAUUAUCUCGAACGG